CAGAGACGCAAGGAGGAAUUCUUUUACCUGGGAAUAAAACAGCUGAGGUACAGGUUCAAACUGGACUUUGCUAAAAGUGUCUGCUCCUGAAGAACUUUCUUCUGAAACUAUAGAGGAGUUGACAGAAUAUAAAAGACCCAUCCCUGACCUGGGAGGAAUGUGAGAGGCAGUCAUGUUCUGGACCCCUUCUCCAUCAUUUUGUGACCUGGACAGGAAAAAAAUACAACCUUGGCAACAGUGAGGCAUAGUCAAGGAAAACAAAUUCCCAUAUGGCCUCUACACAAUGAUGUAUGUGUCAUUCUUCAACUCAAGUCAUUGAGCCCACUAUCAAGAAGGUGGGGAAAUGGCUAACAUAGGAGUAGAGAAUCCCUUGCCAACAUCCUUCUACUAAAAGAAUCCCACACGCCUUCCCAACCCAAACUACAAAUCUCCUGAGGAGUCCUACUGAAGAAUUAAGUACAUAGAGGGAAGAGCAACUUUGGAACCUUCUGGGCAGCUUCACUGGGAGAGAGGUGAUAGGGGGAGAGGAGAGAAAGGGAAAAGAGGGACAGAGAAACUGUGUGUGUAUCAGUGUGUGUGAGAGAGGGAGAGAGUAUU